CCUACGGGGGGCAGCAGUGAGGAAUAUUGGUCAAUGGGCUUACGCCUGAACCAGCCAAGUCGCGUGAGGGAAGACUGCCCUAUGGGUUGUAAACCUCUUUUGUCAGGGAGCAACGCCGGCUACGUGUAGCCUGUCUUAUAGUCCCUGUAGAAAAGGCAUCGGCUAACUCCUUGCCAGCAGCCGCGGUAAUACGGAGGAUGCGAGCGUUAUCCGGAUUUAUUGGGUUUAAGGGGUGCGUAGGCGGAAUGCCAAGUCAGCGGUAAAAUCUCGGGGCUCAACCUCGCUCCGCCGUUGAAACUGGCGGUCGUGAGUGGGCGAGAAGUAGGCGGAAUGCGUGGUGUAGCGGUGAAAUGCAUAGAUAUCACGCAGAACUCCGAUUGCGAAGGCAGCAUACCGGAGCGCAACUGACGCUGAAGCACGAAAGCGUGGGUAUCGAACAGGAUUAGAUACCCUGGUAGUC
rnacentral:rRNA from 1 species